rnacentral:rRNA from 1 species
GCCAGACUCCUACGGGAGGCAGCAGUGGGGAAUAUUGCACAAUGGGGGAAACCCUGAUGCAGCAACGCCGCGUGAAGGAAGACGGUUUUCGGAUUGUAAACUUCUGUUCUUAGUGAAGAAGAAUGACGGUAGCUAAGGAGCAAGCCACGGCUAACUACGUGCCAGCAGCCGCGGUAAUACGUAGGGGGCAAGCGUUAUCCGGAUUUACUGGGUGUAAAGGGAGCGUAGACGGCGAUACAAGUCUGAAGUGAAAGCCCGGGGCUCAACCCCGGGACUGCUUUGGAAACUGUGUUGCUGGAGUGCUGGAGAGGCAAGCGGAAUUCCUAGUGUAGCGGUGAAAUGCGUAGAUAUUAGGAAGAACACCAGUGGCGAAGGCGGCUUGCUGGACAGUAACUGACGUUGAGGCUCGAAAGCGUGGGGAGCAAACAGGAUUAGAUACCCCAGUAC